rnacentral:tRNA from 1 species
GAGGGUAUAGCUCUGGGGUAGAGUAUGUGCCUAGCAUGCACAAGGUCCUGGGUUCAAUACCCAGUACCUCCA